rnacentral:rRNA from 1 species
GACGAACGCUGGCGGCGCGCUUAACACAUGCAAGUCGAACGAGAAGGCGUAGCAAUACGCUUGUACAGUGGCGAACGGGUGAGUAAUACGUGGGCGACCUACCCUCGAGUGGGGAAUAACCCGCCGAAAGGCGGGCUAAUGCCGCGUACGCUUCCAUCUUUAUGGAGGUGGAAGGAAAGCCGUGCCGUGGGCACGGCGCUCAAGGAUGGGCUCACGUCCUAUCAGCUUGUUGGAGGGUAACGGCCUACCAAGGCUCCGACGGGUAGCUGGUCUGAGAGGACGAUCAGCCACACUGGCACUGCGACACGGGCCAGACUCCUACGGGAGGCAGCAGUGAGGAAUAUUGCGCAAUGGGCGAAAGCCUGACGCAGCGACGCCGCGUGGGGGA